AGGUCAGGGAUAGUGUAAUGCU
rnacentral:miRNA from 8 species